UAUACAUGGAGUUUGUCCACUGACUCAGGCAUUUGUCCUAAAUAUCUGUUUUCAAAACUUGUAUCAUUGGGGUAGGGGUUGGGUGCAGCUCAGUGGCAAAGCUCGUAUAUAGCACAUGCAAGGCUCUGGGUUUGGUCUCCAGCACUAUAAUAGCCAUGGAAGACAGGUUAUCAUGCAUAAACAUGGAAUUACUGUGAAGGCCUUUCUAACUGUCUCGACUUUUGCCCUGGUCACUGUAGCCAAGAAAUGUCCAGAGUAGAUGGGUUGCCACAGUUUUGGGAAUUAAGUCACUUUUUCUUGUGUUUCAUGAAGCAAAAGCAGGACUCUUCAGACUGCUCUGAGUAGCCUACGUUACAGAUCUGGGGUUUGUCCAGCUGUAACUACUGUGAAGCAGGCAGCUAGCACUGG
rnacentral:lncRNA from 1 species